GGGGGAAACCAAAGUUAGAGUUUUAAUAUAAAUGAUAUAUUUUAGAAACCUAAAUUUUCACCAUAAGCUCACAUAUCAUAACAUAAAGCUUACGCAACAGUUUUCGGGCAUUACUUAGUGUUUUAUCUUCAUACAAUAUCAAAGGAGAUUACCAUUCAGGGACGCCGAGACGGAAGGACAAAGGGGCAUACAUGUCCCGAUCGCCAAGAUAAUAAAGACGCUAGAAGACGAAAGACAAAAAAAAUGUAGAAGCUUUCCCAAUUAUUCAAAUUUAUUUAUUUAUUUCAUUUUUUAUUCU